rnacentral:rRNA from 1 species
GACGAACGCUGGCGGCGUGCUUAACACAUGCAAGUCGAACGGUAAGGCUCCAGCUUGCUGGGGUACAUGAGUGGCGAACGGGUGAGUAACACGUGGGUGACCUGCCCUGCACUUCGGGAUAAGCCUGGGAAACUGGGUCUAAUACCGGAUAGGACCAUGGUGUGGAUACUGUGGUGGAAAGUUUUUUCGGUGUGGGAUGGGCCCGCGGCCUAUCAGCUUGUUGGUGGGGUAAUGGCCUACCAAGGCGGCGACGGGUAGCCGGCCUGAGAGGGUGGACGGCCACAUUGGGACUGAGACACGGCCCAGACUCCUACGGGAGGCAGCAGUGGGGAAUAUUGCACAAUGGGCGGAAGCCUGAUGCAGCGACGCCGCGUGGGGGAUGACGGCCUUCGGGUUGUAAACUCCUUUCACCAUCGACGAAGGGUUUCUGACGGUAGAUGGAGAAGAAGCACCGGCUAACUACGUG